rnacentral:rRNA from 1 species
GCCUAGCGAACGCAGAGGAUAGGGAGAGAAAAAGCAACCAGACGCCCAUCGCUCGCUCCUUCUCCCCACUGGUCGCAGCCAUGAGACCCUCCUCCUCUUCCUGCCCUCUCCCGCCUCCCCCGACCUGCUCGUCCCGCCUCCCCCAGCUCCGCUGCUUCGUCGGCCUCCGGUGGUCUGCCCCCCGCGUUCAGGUCAGGGGGCAAUUAGACGCGUUUGCAGGAAUUGGCAGUGGUGCGCGUGGAUGCGGUGCGCGAUUCAGAGCGCCUGCUUCCAGUGCGUCCCAACCUUGUUAUAGCUCCACCGUCAUUAGGAACGACAAUUCUCAAAAUGCUGAUUUUCCACGUAACUACUCCAAAAGGGAGAAGAAACCAUUUCCUAUACCAGUACUGGAGUUAAGGCGCCGAGCAAGACAGAGGAUGAAGGAAGCUGAAGGGAAGCCUAGGGGGCCGCCGCCACCUCCGAAAAAUGGAUUGCUGGUCCAGAGACUAAUACCAGAGGCAUACAGAGUGUACAACGCAAGAAUUUUGCUGAUCAACAACUUGAAGAGGCUGAUAAAAGUAGUACCAGUGAAAGGCUGCAAAUAUUGCAGUGAGAUACACGUUGGAUCUGUUGGACACCCUUUCAGAACAUGCCGAGGAAUGUCUUCUGAUAAACGCAAGGGAGAACAUGACUGGGGAAGUACUUUUGUUGAAGCUGUUUUCUUGCCAGUUGAAGCUUACCACCUAGAGGACCGUCUGGGCCCGCGUAUUCCUCAUGACCAGAGGUUUGAGGUGCCCCGCGUUCCUGCUCUUGUGGAGCUUUGCAUCCAAGCUGGUCUCGACCUCCCUGAGUACCCCACAAAACGCCGAAGAAAGCCACGUCCUACAAACCUCUGCACUUGGAGGCCCAACAACGUCUACAAGAAGAAGGUUGUGUAGUAGACAUCAAGCUCUUUUCUAGCGCCGUUGCGGGGAGGUAACGAGGAGGAACUUUCUAUUGAACCAAUCUCAUUAAUAAGGAGCCCAAGGAAGAUGGUUGAACCCACACAUAAUAUGAAGAAGAAAAAGAAAAGAAGGAGCAACAAAGGUAAAAAGGUAUCUCUCUUUAAUGAUGUUGCUCCUACUACUCAUUGUGAUGAUGAUAAUUGCUAUACUAUUGGUGCUAUCCAUACUAUUAAUGAUGAGAGUGAUUAUGCUUAUGAUAUGAAAAGGCCCAAGCUUGGGGAAGCUAUGUUUGAUGAGGAUGACAUAUUUGAGAAUAUAUUUGCUGCAAUGAAUGUUUGUCCCAAGCUUGGGGAUGCUAUGUUUUAAUGAAGAUGUUAUUUCUAGUCUCCCAAGUUUUGUUAUGCAAAGUUGUUAUGAUGAUAGCAUGCCUCUUACUUAUGAUUAUAUUGAUGAAAGUGGGUUUGGAAGAGUGUCAACUUUAGGAAGUAAUGAUCCCACUAUUUUGGAGGAUGUUUAAUCUUAUUGUGAUGAAUAUGAAAUUGGAUUUGGAAGAGUGUCAACUUUAUUUAGUGAUGAUUCCACUAUCUUGGAAGAGGUUUCAAUCGAUUAUGAUGAGAACAAAGUUGCUACUUAUGAUGAUUAUUGUGAUUAAACUUAUGCUAUAAAAAGUAGUGAUGAUUAUAUUUAUAAAACUUGUCAUGAUUAUGAUUACCCUUUUUCUAAACAUUACUCUUUUAAUGUGGAAACAAUUUAUAGUAUUCAAGUCUCCUAUGAUACUCCCACUAUUUCGAAUAAGAAGAAUUUUGCUUGUGUGGAUAGCAAUAAAUUUUCUAUGCUUGUAGAUCAUGAAAAGAAUGUUUUAGGUGCUGGUUAUAUUGUUGAAUUCAUUCAUGAUGCUACUGAAAAUUAUUAUGAGGGAGGAAUAUAUGCUUGUAGGAAUUGCAAUAAUAUCAAGUUUCCUCCCUAUGUGCUUAAAAUCUUGAAGUUAUGCUUGUUUUGCCUUCCUAUGCUAGUUGAUUAUUGUUCCCAUAAGUUGUUUGCUCACAAAAUCCCUAUGCAUAGGAAGUGGGUUAUACUUAAAUGUGCUAGUCAUAUUCUUCAUGAUGCUCUCUUUAUGUUUCAAUUCUUAUCUUUUAUGUGAGCAUCAUUUCAUCAUGCCUAGCUAGGGGCGUUAAACGAUAGCGCUUGUUGGUAGGCAACCCAAUUUAUUUUUGUUCCUUGCUUUUGUUCCUGUUUAGUAAUAAAUAAUUCAUAUAGCCUCUGGUUAGAUGUGGUUUUAUGUUUUAAUUAGUGUUUGUGCCAAGUAGAACUUUUGGAAAGACUUGGGUGAAGUCUUUGUGAUCUUGCUGUAAAAAACAGAAACUUUAGCGCUCACGAGAUUAGCUACCAUUUUUUACUGGAGAGUGCUUUUAGGUUGAUUCCUUUUGCAGAUUAUUAACAGACAAAUUCCUCAGGUACACCAAUUUAUUUCAUAAUUGUUGAAGUUACAGAAGUAUUCGAAUGAUACAGAUUACUACAGACUGUUCUGUUUUUGACAGAUUCUGUUUUCUAUGUGUUGUUUGCUUAUUUUGAUGAAUCUAUGAGUAGUAUCGGAGGGUAUGAACCAUACAGAAGUUGAAAUAUAGUAGAUAUUACACCAAUAUAAAUAAAUAAUGAGUUUAUUACAGUACCUUAAAGUGGUGGUCUGUUUUCUUAUACUAACGGAGCUUACGAGUUUUGUUUUGAGUUUUGUGUUGUGAAGUUUUCAAGUUUUGGGUAAAGAUUCAAUGGACUAUGGAAUAAGAAGUGGCAAUAGCCUAAGCUUGGGGAUGACCAAGGCACCUCAAGCUUUCGAGAUUUAGGAAACCGUGAUAUAAAAGGAAUUAAGGAGACAAUAGCUCAAGCUUGGGGAUGCCCAAGGCACCCCAAGAUAAUAUUUCAAGAAGUCUCAAUCAUCCAAGCUUGGGGAUGCCCCGGUAGGCAUCCCACCUUUCUUCUUCAACAAUUAACGGGCCUAGCUUGGAGAAGGAUGAACAUUGGAGCAAGAACAAGCAUGGAGAUGAUGGCAUGCGCAAGGGGAACAAGAACGGAGUUACAAGUGAUGAUUUCAGGACUUUGAAGCCACCAUAAUGGGUGCAUGAAGCCUUGGGCGAAAUAUACAAGAUGCCACUUCAUAAAUUUCGUCCCGAGGCUAUUCUAGGUGCUGCGUCACCUUAUUAUUGGGCCAGGUCUAUGUAAUUUCGAAAUACACAAGUAUAGGCUAUUUUUAGAGUCUGUAUGUGUGGGGAAACAAGAGAUAGGGUUGAUUUCGGACCCCUCCACCAAGGGCCACGAAAUCCCCCCCUCUUCCUCCAUAUAUACAGCCCUUAGGGCACCGUUUAGACUUUGGGUUUUGUUUAGAUUAAAAGUUUGCCAUAGCUGCAACUUCACGUACUUCUUUUGUGUUCAACGACCAGACAAAGGCGUCACAGAACCCCACCUUGAUCAAUAAAGCUUUCAUCUUAUAUUCGCAAUAUCCA